GAUUAUGGCUCAGGAUGAACGCUGGCGGCGUGCCUAACACAUGCAAGUCGAACGGAGUAAUUCUUCGGAGGUUACUUAGGUGGCGGACGGGUGAGUAACGCGUGGGUAAUCUGCCUUACACAGGGGGACAACAGUUGGAAACGACUGCUAAUACCGCAUAAGCCGGUAGCGCCGCAUGGCGCAUCCGGAAAAGAUUCAUCGGUGUAAGAUGAGCCCGCGUCUGAUUAGUUAGUUGGCGGGGUAACGGCCCACCAAGACGACGAUCAGUAGCCGACCUGAGAGGGUGAUCGGCCACAUUGGGACUGAGACACGGCCCAAACUCCUACGGGGGGCAGCAGUGGGGAAUAUUGCGCAAUGGGGGGAACCCUGACGCAGCAACGCCGCGUGAGUGAAGAAGUAUUUCGGUAUGUAAAGCUCUAUCAGCAGGGAAGAAAACGACGGUACCUGCAGAAGAAGUCCCGGCUAACUACGUGCCAGCCGCCGC
rnacentral:rRNA from 1 species